rnacentral:rRNA from 1 species
AUAUCAAUAAGCGGAGGAAAAGAAACCAACAGGGAUUGCCCUAGUAACGGCGAGUGAAGCGGCAACAGCUCAAAUUUAAAAUCUGGCCCCCUCGGGGUCCGAGUUGUAAUUUGCAGAGGAUGCUUCGGCGUCGGUCCCGGGUUAAGUCCCCUGGAACGAGGCGCCCUAGAGGGUGAGAGCCCCGUACUCGCCCGGGCGUCCUUCGCCGUGUGAAGCUCCUUCGACGAGUCGAGUUGUUUGGGAAUGCAGCUCUAAGCGGGAGGUAUAUUUCUUCUAAAGCUAAAUACCGGCCAGAGACCGAUAGCGCACAAGUAGAGUGAUCGAAAGAUGAAAAGCACUUUGGAAAGAGAGUUAAAAAGCACGUGAAAUUGUUGAAAGGGAAGCUCUUGCCGCCAGACUUGCCGCGGUUGCUCAGCCGUCCCCCUUCGGGGUGCGGUGUACUCUUCCGCCGGCAGGCCAGCGUCGGUUCGGGCGGCCGGAUAAAGGCUUCGGGAAUGUAGCACCCUCCGGGGCGUGUUAUAGCCCGGGGUGCAAUGCGGUCAGCCCGGUCCGAGGCACGCGUUCGCGAGGACGCUGGCGUAAUGGCUGCAAGCGACCCGUCUUGAAACACGGACCAAGGAGUCUAACAUCUGUGCGAGUGUUUGGGCCUCAAACCCAUGCGCGUAAUGAAAGUGAACGGAGGUGGGAACCCCCUCGAGGGGCGCACCAUCGACCGAUCCUGAUGUCUUCGGAUGGAUUUGAGUAAGAGCAUAGCUGUUGGGACCCGAAAGAUGGUGAACUAUUCCCGGAUAGGGUGAAGCCAGAGGAAACUCUGGUGGAGGCUCGCAGCGGUUCUGACGUGCAAAUCGAUCGUCAAAUCUAGGAAUAGGGGCGAAAGACUAAUCGAACCAU